UUUGCUUCUUGAUCUUUUGGCCAACGUCAAGUGUAGUAUCUGUUCUAACCAUUUAAUAUAUGAUACAUCCUCCAUUUGAGGACAAUAUAUUUUUUAAAAUAUUUUGAUUAUAUUUAUUUUUAAAUUCUUUAUACCAAGCAGACAGGUAUUUUGUAUGCACUAGGUGCUCAUGAUGCAUAGACAGC